CCUACGGGAGGCAGCAGUAAGGAAUAUUGGUCAAUGGACGAAAGUCUGAACCAGCCAUGCCGCGUGAAGGAUGAAGGCCCUCUGGGUUGUAAACUUCUUUUAUCUGGGACGAAAAAAGCUCAUUCUUGAGCACUUGACGGUACCAGAGGAAUAAGCACCGGCUAACUCCGUGCCAGCAGCCGCGGUAAUACGGAGGGUGCAAGCGUUAUCCGGAUUCACUGGGUUUAAAGGGUGCGUAGGUGGGUCUGUAAGUCAGUGGUGAAAUCUCCGAGCUUAACUCGGAAACUGCCAUUGAUACUAUAGGUCUUGAAUCAUCUGGAGGUAAGCGGAAUAUGUCAUGUAGCGGUGAAAUGCUUAGAUAUGACAUAGAACACCAAUUGCGAAGGCAGCUUACUACGGGUGUAUUGACACUGAGGCACGAAAGCGUGGGGAUCAAACAGGAUUAGAUACCCUGGUAGUCCACGACCUAACGAUGAUACUCGACAUCAGCGAUACACUGUUGGUGUCGUGAGNGAAGACGAUAGUAUCC
rnacentral:rRNA from 1 species